rnacentral:rRNA from 1 species
UACGUAGGGUGCGAGCGUUGUCCGGAAUUAUUGGGCGUAAAGAGCUCGUAGGCGGUUUGUCGCGUCUGCUGAUGAAACCAUGGGCUUAACUCAUGGCUUGCUUCCGAUACGGGCAGACUAGAGGUAUGCAGGGGAGAACGGAAUUCCUGGAUGUAGCGGUGAAAUGACGCAGAUAUCGGGAAGAACACCCGUGGCCGAAGGCGGCUACUCUGGAACGCAACUGACGCUGAGACGGCGAAAGCGUGGGAGCAACAGG